ACGUGCAAAGUUGUUGGCAGCAUCUUCUUUACCGCUGAUGAGCUGCUCUGGGUGGAAAAGCUGGCGGUAAGCACCAGUUCUCACCUCAUCAAUCACAGUGGGCUCGAGAUCAACAAAAAUAGCACGGGGUACAUGCUUGCCAGCUCCAGUUUCGCUGAAGAAGGUGUUGAAUGCAUCAUCACCUCCACCAAUAGUCUUGUCACUGGGCAUUUGGCCAUCAGGCUGGAUCCCGUGCUCGA
rnacentral:misc_RNA from 1 species